CGCUAUCAUCCUACGGGAGGCAGCAGUGGGGAAUAUUGCACAAUGGGGGAAACCCUGAUGCAGCCAUGCCGCGUGUGUGAAGAAGGCCUUCGGGUUGUAAAGCACUUUCAGUAGGGAGGAAGGUAGUGUAGUUAACACCUGCAUUAUUUGACGUUACCUACAGAAGAAGCACCGGCUAACUCCGUGCCAGCAGCCGCGGUAAUACGGAGGGUGCGAGCGUUAAUCGGAAUUACUGGGCGUAAAGCGCAUGCAGGCGGCCUGUUAAGUCAGAUGUGAAAGCCCGGGGCUUAACCUCGGAAUUGCAUUUGAAACUGGCAGGCUAGAGUCUUGUAGAGGGGGUAGAAUUUCAGGUGUAGCGGUGAAAUGCGUAGAGAUCUGAAGGAAUACCAGUGGCGAAGGCGGCCCCCUGGACAAAGACUGACGCUCAGAUGCGAAAGCGUGGGGAGCAAACAGGAUUAGAUACCCUGGUAG
rnacentral:rRNA from 1 species